rnacentral:tRNA from 1 species
CUCUAGCUGGUCUAGUGGCCAGGAUUCCUGGUUUUCACCCAGGCUUCUCAGGUUCAAUUCCUGAGCAGAGA